rnacentral:rRNA from 1 species
GACGAACCACACAAACGUUAUUCGGAAUUACUGGGCUUAAAGGGUGCGUAGGCUGUGCGGAAAGUUGGGUGUGAAAUCCCCCGGCUCAACCGGGGAAUUGCGCCCAAAACUACCGUGCUUGAGGAAGACAGAGGUGAGCGGAACUUCGGGUGGAGCGGUGAAAUGCGUUGAUAUCCGAAGGAACACCGGUGGCGAAAGCGGCUCACUGGGUCUUUUCUGACGCUGAUGCACGAAAGCUAGGGGGAGCAAACGGGG